GAUACUUGGCUUUGGCUUUAGGGACCCUCUACUCACUACCACGACUCUGGAUCAUUUUAGCAUUCAGGCCGUUGUCACUCUCAUGUUGGUCCAGGACAAGAGGCUCAUAGGUCCGACGAUAAAACAGCCGGGUCACCAGGGUGCACAUCUCUGGUGUGGCAUACUUACUGGACCCCCGGGCAAUGGAUGAAAAGGGUGGAGAGCAAGCGAUGGUCCCGUCCAGAGACAGGAUGCUGAUGAUGGCCGCCUGUAGCUGGCUCAACACCAACACCAACUGAACACCCACACAGGAAUUAGCCACAGCAGUGUCAGUCUAAUGUCUCUUUACACAUCACAGUUCACGUAUAAGAUGGUCUUCAAAAAUAUUAAAGUUAUUCAUGCCGUACUGAGGUAUGGUAAAGGAAGUCCAUUAUGUUGAUAUUAUAUACCUCUGCUCAGUAAUGUUUUGUGUUUUUUUUAUAUGUUAAUGACAAAUUGCACUUAUGAACAGCAGUCUGAUUUCACACACUGGGUGUGAGGAUAUGAAGGUGUUAAACUCAAGCUGUGCAGUAAGUGACUCAGACAAACCUGGUACAUGGCAUACUUGGGGAUGAUCUUGAGACUUUGCAGGGUUUUUACCAGAUGCAUGAACAUAAUGGAGACAGGCCACAGGGCUGUUAUGGUAAGGACUCCAAUGAACGGGUUUAUCCAGAUCGCAGCUCCUGUAAUCUCAAGCUGAAUGCAGAGGAACAGAUGAAGUGGAGACAUCAGUAAGGGAAACUUUGACAGCGGGAAAGAGAAACUCAGUCACCUGGACUGCAGAUGGAAAUGAUCUUAUAGCUAUAAUCUGAUACGAGGCAUCUUCUCUCACUCCUGAGAUUAAUGUAUGGUCCCUGAUACAAAUAAACCAUAUCAACCAAUC